rnacentral:rRNA from 1 species
AUGAACGCUGGCGGCGUGCCUAAUACCUGCAAGUCGAGCGAACAGACGAGGAGCUUGCUCCUCUGACGUUAUCGGCGGACGGGUGAGUAACACGUGGAUAACCUACCUAUAAGACUGGGAUAACUUCGGGAAACCGGAGCUAAUACCGGAUAAUAUAUUGAACCGCAUGGUUCAAUAGUGAAAGACGGUUUUGCUGUCACUUAUAGAUGGAUCCGCGCCGCAUUAGCUAGUUGGUAAGGUAACGGCUUACCAAGGCAAUGAUGCGUAGCCGACCUGAGAGGGUGAUCGGCCGCACUGGAACUGAGACACGGUCCAGACUCCUACGGGAGGCAGCAGUAGGGAAUCUUCCGCAAUGGGCGAAAGCCUGACGGAGCAACGCCGCGUGAGUGAUGAAGGUCUUCGGAUCGUAAAACUCUGUUAUUAGGGAAGAACAAAUGUGUAAGUAACUAUGCACGUCUUGACGGUACCUAAUCAGAAAGCCACGGCUAACUACGUG